GAUGUGCCCAGUUAACUUACCAUCUUUCUAAAAUGUUUUUUCUUGGAUCUGAUAAAACAUUUCACCUAUCUUACCACUUCGUGAAUGAACUACAACAUCAUAAUUGUAUUUGCAAGAAAAAUUCUGUUGCUUUAUCAGUGGAAUUCACUUGUAAAUUAUUGCUUCAAACAUAUUUACGUUUUUUGUGGCACAAACAAUUCUUAUCUGUAGUAGCCUGUGGUAUAUUUUUUAUUCUCAUGAAAAUAAAGUACUACUUUAUAAGUAAGAUUUCUUAUAAAAAUUAUAAAUACUGCUUUAUAAAUGAAGACUUGUAUAAAAACGAUAUCCUUUGGUUUAUCCAAAGCACAAUCAUGAGAAGACCAUGGAUCCACUAUUUUGUAAGCUUUCUUUGAAAUAGUUAUACAUAAUUUUAAAGAAAACAGAACAAAACAAAAUUGGUUACCGUAGAAUAUUUGUAUAGUCAUUGUGAUCUUUUAAAAAAUGAAUAAAGCCAGGUGUUGGGGCACACGCCUUUAGUCCCAGCAUCAAGGGAGAGAGACAGUCAGAUCUGAGUUCUAGGCCAUUUUGGUCUACAGAGCAAGCUCCAAGACACCCAGGGCUAUACAGAGAAACCCUGUCUCCAAAAGGAAAAAAGAAAAAA
rnacentral:lncRNA from 1 species